rfam:Gossypium hirsutum cultivar TM-1 chromosome 25, whole genome shotgun sequence
AUCCCACGGUGAGGGCAUCUACAAAGUACCUCUUUGAAUCUUUCCAUACCUCGUAUAAGGAUUCAUCAUCCAAUUGAUGGAAAGUAGUGAUCUUUUUCUACAACU